CUGGAGAAGAGCUUUCAGUUUCGGCUGGAUAUCACACAGGUGCUGCAUGGCUGUCGUCAGCUCGUGUCGUGAGAUGUUCGGUUAAGUCCGGCAACGAGCGCAACCCACAUUUUUAGUUGCCAGCAUUCAGUUGGGCACUCUAGAAAAACUGCCGGUGAUAAGCCGGAGGAAGGUGUGGAUGACGUCAAGUCCUCAUGGCCCUUACGGGUUGGGCUACACACGUGCUACAAUGGUGGUGACAAUGGGUUAAUCCCAAAAAGCCAUCUCAGUUCGGAUUGGGGUCUGCAACUCGACCCCAUGAAGUCGGAAUCGCUAGUAAUCGCGUAACAGCAUGACGCGGUGAAUACGUUCCCGGGCCUUGUACACACCGCCCGUCACACCAUGGGAGUUGGUUUUACCCGAAGACGGUGCGCUAACCAGCAAUGGAGGCAGCCGGCCACGGUAGGGUCAGCGACUGGGGUGAAGUCGUAACAAGGUAGCCGU
rnacentral:rRNA from 1 species